rnacentral:tRNA from 1 species
GCAGUGAUGGUUCUGGGGUAGAAUUCUUGCCUUCCAUGAGGGAGACCCAGGUUCAAUUCCUGGCCAAUGCA